CCAUGAUACCAAAUCUAAAAUCUCUUGCUUUGGUAAAUGUUGGUUCAUGGGGUGAUGCAGAAGGUGAAAAGGCCAACACAAAGAUAAAAAACAUUCGUCAGAACUUUGCAAGAUGUAUUCGUGAACUUAGCAGUGAUGAAGAUGUAAGAAUUAUUGAAAUUGAAUGCUGCAAUUUCCUAAAAGUUGUUGCUGAAGCUGCAAUGUUUGGAGCAUUUGAGAGAAAUGAGCAAAAUUUUCCAAGCAAUUGUUAUUUCUUUGAUUCAUGCUCUCAGAUUUUGCCUGUACAGUUUCAAAUAUUUUGUGAUUUUC